AAAAACUAGUGAAAACUUCAUGUAUAUAAAAUAUUUCAGAAAUAAAUCUGCUAACAUUCUUCACUUUCAGGUUGCAUGUGUGAAUCCAACAUGUUCCUUCUUCAUAAAUAGUCAAGCGUUCCUUCAGUGGUGUUUGUGUGGUCUGUCUUCGUGCUGGUCACCAGCCUCAGUAUGUCUGGUAGACGUCGGGGAUGGGGACCUGAAUGGCAGCAGCAGGGAAGGCCUGAGGUAUGUAGCCUGCGUAUCCUCCAUACACGGCGGCCGCGGCUGCCGCGUUCUUCUGUAGUGUGGCGAUCGUGGCUGUAGCUGGAGCAGCAAAUGGCACGUAACUGGCCCCGUAGAUCCCGGCAGUAGGAAUUCUCUGAACGUUUGGAGCCACCGUGUAUACUGGAGUUAUUGGGCGGCCCUGAGGAGAAGAGACAAAAAGGAGCCUUCCUGAACACGUCCACGGUUGGUUGAAUCCAGAUGUAGAAACUGCGGAUAAGGAGGACCUUCUCUGUACUGUAUUCCGGAAUCUUCUACUUACCAUUUCACUCAAUCAGUCUAUGCCCCAGAGUGAGCUAGAGAAGGCAGCGGAGAAUCUACCAUCCACACAAUUGAUUUCACAGUAAUUAAAAAUCAGUAUUUUUCCUUAAACAUGGCCUCUAGAUACAUGCCAGCUG
rnacentral:lncRNA from 1 species